rnacentral:rRNA from 1 species
UACGUAGGGGGCAAGCGUUGUCCGGAUUUAUUGGGCGUAAAGAGCGUGUAGGCGGCUUGGUAGGUCCGCUGUGAAAACUCGAGGCUCAACCUCGAGAUGUCGGCGGAAACCACUUGGCUAGAGUCCGGAAGAGGAGUGUGGAAUUCCUGGUGUAGCGGUGAAAUGCGCAGAUAUCAGGAAGAACACCUAUGGCGAAGGCAGCACUCUGGGACGGUACUGACGCUGAGACGCGAAAGCGUGGGGAGCGAAACAGGAUUAGAAC